CCUACGUGAGGCAGCAGUGGGGAAUAUUGCACAAUGGGGGAAACCCUGAUGCAGCGACGCCGCGUGAGUGAAGAAGGAAUUCGUUACGGAAAGCUCUAGCAGCAGGGAAGAAAAGGACGGUACCUGAGUAAGAAGCCCCGGCGAACGACGUGCCAGCAGCCGCGGUAAUACGUAGGGGGCAAGCGUUAUCCGGAUUUACUGGGUGUAAAGGGAGCGGAGACGGGGCGCCAAGUCUGGAGGGAAAUGCCGCAGCUUAACUGCGGAACUGCUUUGGAAACUGGCGAACUAGAGUGCGGGAGGGUUAAGCGGAAUUCCUAGUGUCGCGGUGAACUGCGUCGAUAUUAG
rnacentral:rRNA from 1 species